GAUGAACGCUGGCGGCGUGCCUAAUACAUGCAAGUCGAGCGAACGGACGAGAAGCUUGCUUCUCUGAUGUUAGCGGCGGACGGGUGAGUAACACGUGGAUAACCUACCUAUAAGACUGGGAUAACUUCGGGAAACCGGAGCUAAUACCGGAUAAUAUUUUGAACCGCAUGGUUCAAAAGUGAAAGACGGUCUUGCUGUCACUUAUAGAUGGAUCCGCGCUGCAUUAGCUAGUUGGUAAGGUAACGGCUUACCAAGGCAACGAUGCAUAGCCGACCUGAGAGGGUGAUCGGCCAGACUGGAACUGAGACCCGGUCCAGACUCCUACGGGAGGCAGCAGUAGGGAAGCUUCCGCAAUGGGCGAAAGCCUGACGGAGCAACGCCGCUUGAGUGAUGAAGGUCUUCGGAUCGUAAAACUCUGUUAUUAGGGAAGAACAUAUGUGUAAGUACCUGUGCACAUCUUGACGGUACCUAAUCAGAAAGCCACGGCUAACUACGUG
rnacentral:rRNA from 1 species